rnacentral:rRNA from 1 species
AGCUGGCGGCGUGCCGAUACAUGCAAGUCGAGCGAACAGACGAGGAGCUCAUGUUUUGACGUUAAGCGGCGGACGGGUGAGUAACACGUAGGUAACCUACCUAUAAGACUGGGAUAACUUCGGGAAACCGGAGCUAAUACCGGAUAAUAUUUCGAACCGCAUGGUUCGAUAGUGAAAGAUGGCUUUGCUAUCACUUAUAGAUGGACCUGCGCCGUAUUAGCUAGUUGGUAAGGUAACGGCUUACCAAGGCAACGAUACGUAGCCGACCUGAGAGGGUGAUCGGCCACACUGGAACUGAGUGACGGUCCAGACUCCUACGGGAGGCAGCAGUAGGGAAUCUUCCGCAAUGGGCGAAAGCCUGACGGAGCAACGCCGCGUGAGUGAUGAAGGUCUGCGGAUCGUAAAACUCUGUUAUUAGGGAAGACCAAACGUGUAAGUAACUGUGCACGUCUUGACGGUACCUAAUCAGAAAGCCACGGCUAACUACGUGCCAGCAGCCGCGGUAAUACGUAGGUGGCAAGCGUUAUCCGGAAUGAUUGGGCGUAAAGCGCGCGUAGGCGGUACUCGAAGUCUGAUGUGAAAGCCCACGGCUCAACCGUGGAGGGUCAUUGGAAACUGGAAAACUUGAGUGCAGAAGAGGAAAGUGGAAUUCCAUGUGUAGCGGUGAAAUGCGCAGAGAUAUGGAGGAACACCAGUGGCGAAGGCGACUUUCUGGUCUGUAACUGACGCUGAUGUGCGAAAGCGUGGGGAUCAAACAGGAUUAGAUACCCUGGUAGUCCACGCCGUAAACGAUGAGUGCUAAGUGUUAGGGGGUUUCCGCCCCUUAGUGCUGCAGCUAACGCAUUAAGCACUCCGCCUGGGGAGUACGACAGCAAGGUUGAAACUCAAAGGAAUUGACGGGGACCCGCACAAGCGGUGGAGCAUGUGGCUUAAUUCGAAGCAACGCGAAGAACCUUACCAAAUCUUGACAUCCUUUGACCCUUCUAGAGAUAGAAGUUACCCCUUCGGGGGACAAAGUGACAGGUGGUGCAUGGUUGUCGUCAGCUCGUGUCGUGAGAUGUUGGGUUAAGUCCCGCAACGAGCGCAACCCUUAAGCUUAGUUGCCAUCAUUAAGUUGGGCACUCUAAGUUGACUGCCGGUGACAAACCGGAGGAAGGUGGGGAUGACGUCAAAUCAUCAUGCCCCUUAUGAUUUGGGCUA